UGGGGAAUAUUGGACAAUGGGGGAAACCCUGAUCCAGCCAUGCCGCGUGCGUGAAGAAGGCCUCAGGGUUGUAAAGCGCUUUCGGCGGGGAAGAUGAUGACGGUACCCGCAGAAGAAGCCCCGGCUAACUCCGUGCCAGCAGCCGCGGUGAUACGGAGGGGGCAAGCGUUGUUCGGAAUUACUGGGCGUAAAGGGCGCGUAGGCGGGCGACUAAGUCAGAGGUGAAAGGCCUGGGCUCAACCUGGGAACUGCCUUUGAAACUAGUUGUCUAGAGUCCGGAAGAGGAUGGCGGAAUUCCCAGUGUAGAGGUGAAAUUCGUAGAUAUUGGGAAGAACACCAGUGGCGAAGGCGGCCAUCUGGUCCGGUACUGACGCUCAUCCGCGAAAGCGUGGGGAGCAAACAGGAUUAGAUACCCUGGUAGUCCACGCCGUAAACGAUGUCAACUAGCCGUAGGGGGGCUUGUCCCUUUUGUGGCGCAGCUAACGCGAUAAGUUGACCGCCUGGGGAGUACGGCCGCAAGGUUA
rnacentral:rRNA from 1 species